rnacentral:rRNA from 1 species
UACGUAGGGUGCGAGCGUUAAUCGGAAUUACUGGGCGUAAAGCGUGCGCAGGCGGUUUUGUAAGCCAGAUGUGAAAUCCCCGGGCUUAACCUGGGAAUGGCAUUUGGGACUGCAAGGCUCGAGUGCGGCAGAGGAGACUGGAAUUCCUGGUGUAGCAGUGAAAUGCGUAGAUAUCAGGAGGAACACCUAUUGCGAAGGCAGCUCGCUGGGACGUAACUGACGCUGAGACGCGAAAGCGUGGGGAGCGAACAGG